rnacentral:lncRNA from 1 species
UGAACUGCUAGUCAGGAAAAAUGCAAUUCUGGAACUCCUUAGUGAAACAGCAAGGCAAAACAACAUCAGAGCAGUUGCCAAGUGAUCUUCUCCACAGUACCCAUGAACUUCAGCCUUGAACUGAAGAGGACUCAUCAAAUGGCUUGGGAGAUACAGCAUGGAAUUGGAAGAGAAGCAGGAAUCUGCAUGAAGGGCACUCAACUGCAGUCUUGGUGUGUGGAGGAGCAGGUCCUGUUCUCACUGUUGCUACUCCCACAUAGGUGGACUCUGUAA